UAAAUAAAUCUUUAAAAAAUGUGCAAAGAGCUCUUAAAACUCGACAGUAAAAUAAACAACCUAAUUUAAAAAAUGGGCAAAACCCAAAAAGACACCACCCCGAAGAAGAUAAACAGAUGGUAAAUACACAUAUGAAAGAAUGCUCCUCAUCAUAUGUCAUUAGAAAAUUGCAAAUGAAAACAACAAUGAGAUAGCACCACAUUCCUAUAUUCUAAGCCAUUCUAGGCCGAGACAUGGAACACCAACAACAGCAAAUGCUGUGAGGACAAGGAACGAUAGGAUUGGUUGUUGGUGGAAAUGCAAAGUGGUUCAGUCACUUUGGAAGACGGUUUGGCAGUUUCUUACAGAACUAAACAUGCUCUUACCAUAUGAUCCGGCACUUGCACUCCUUGGUAUUUACCCACAUGAGCUGAGAAGUUAUGUCCACACAAAGCUUGCAUGUGGGUAUUUAUAGAAGUUCUACUCAUAAUUGCCAAAACCUGUAAACAACCAAGAUGUCCUUCGGUAGGUGAAUGGAUAAGUAAACUAGUAUGCCCAAACAAUAAAGUUUUAUUCAGCACUAAAAAGAAAUGAGCUGUCAAGCUAUAGAAAGACAUGGAGAAAACUUAAGUGCACAUGCCUAAAUGAAAAGUCAAACUGAAAAGGCUACAUACUGUAUGGUUCCAACUAUAGGACAUUCUGAAGGAAAAGGCAAAGUCAUGGAAACAAUAAAAAGAUAGGGGUUGGCAGGAGGGAGGGAUAAAUAGAGCGCCAAGGAUUUUGGGGAGUAGUGAAACCAUUUUGGGUGAUACUGGAAUCGUGGAUACAUGUCAUCUUAUGUUUGUUCAAACCCAUAGAAUGUACACCAAGAGUGAUCCCAAUAUAAACUACUGGCUUUGAGUGAUAACGAUGUCUCAGUGUAGGUCCAUGGAUUAGAGCAAAGGCACCAUUCUCUAGGGACAUGUUUAUGGUGGAGGAGGCUGUGCCUGUGGCUGGGGGGAGGAGGGAUGAGGGGAUAUGUGGAAAAUCUCUGUACUUUGCACGCAAGUUUGCUUUGGCCCUCAAACUGCUCUAAAAAUUAAGUCUUUAGAAAAUACAAGUAGCAUAGGUUUUUGAGGUGACCUUGUGUGGAAGUUCUUUGACAUUAUAAAAGACAUCAUCACCACAUCCUGAGAAGACUAACAUUCAGCUUCAUAGAAGAGGGAGGCAAGAACCAUCGGUGGUGAGGCCCAACUCCAGUGGCCAUGACGAGCCUUUGCCAAAGCCUCGCUGUAAGAACCGUGCCUUGUCAGCCUGUUCAGAGCUGUUGAGUUAGCAGCCCCUGGAAGAUGCCACGUGGCACUUUUGCUCAUAUCCCAUGGUCCAGUAUUUAAGCUUAUGGCUGCCCCACCUACAAAGAAGUCUGGAAGAUGUAGUCUCUACCCUGCAUGGCCAAAUGAUCUUCCAAAAAUCAGAGUGUCCAUCGGCGUGCAGGAAGUAGAGAGGGAAUAUCGGAAUGAGAGUGCUUAACAGAAGAAUCUCAACCGUGUUCAUUUUAUAGUUGAAGAGUCUGGGAGAGACCUGUUGACCCUGUGCAUACACAAUGACUGCUCCAGGGCUUGCUUCAGCUACAAAUGAGCAGAUGUGGAGAAAAGCCACGAGUCCUUUGAAAACCAAGGAGGAGCCACAGGCCACUUUGGGGUGGACGGGCUGUAUCGCAUUGUGAGAACUACAAGAAGCAGAGAGCAAUGCAGCUUAUAGCAGGAGGGGUGAAAGAAAGAAAAAGAAAAGGAAGGAAAGAAGGAAGCAAGAAAAACAUUUAGAGAAUGCCUAGCCUGUCUCUAGAAAUCCUAAGGAGGCUGAAUUAAUCCCUUCCAAAGUCGCACAGGACUACUGCCGCUAUCACUAGACAAGCCUGGGACAGACUCUUGGAGGAUGAAGGAUCACAAGGAGUGAUCAACUGUCCCAGCUGAGGCCAAUCUAGACCAGUCUACAGCGAGCCCUUGCACAGAUAUGUGUGAAAACCCAAACAAGAGCAGCACAUUUGCUUACUGAGUCCACUGUUGACCACAGAUACACCACUAAGUCAGCUGAAACCAGAACUGAUAGGGUAUGUCCAGUUUAUGCCCAUUCAUAAACUCCUGAGCAAUAAUAAAUGCUUUUUAAAGCCAA